rnacentral:rRNA from 1 species
CAAUAGCGUAUAUUAAAGUUGUUGCAGUUAAAAAGCUCGUAGUUGGAUUUCUGUUCUUGGGAUCUGGUCCGCCUCACGGUGAGCACUGGAUAACUGGGGACAUCCUCUCGAAGGCGGCAGGUGCACUUGAUUGUGUGUUUGUUGAAUUCGGGACCUUUACUUUGAAAAAAUUAGAGUGUUCAAAGCAGGCGUCGGCUUGAAUACAUUAGCAUGGAAUAAUGGAAUAGGACUUUGGUUCUAUUUUGUUGGUUUCUAGGACCGAAGUAAUGAUUAAUAGGGACAGUUGGGGGCAUUAGUAUUUAAUUGUCAGAGGUGAAAUUCUUGGAUUUAUGAAAGACUAACUACUGCGAAAGCAUUUGCCAAGGAUGUUUUCAUUGA